GUUAUUUAUUGUGAAAGUUAAUAAAUACCCUAGAACUACUUCUUCAGUCCUACGCGGAAGGAGACAUUUUGAGAAUUAUUCAGAAUUAUGACGUCACGAGAAUUCCAUUGUGAAGGUAUACGUAUGACGGAAGAUACUUGCGAAUCAGUACUGUUCGGGAAUUGCGUUGUGAUGGUACGGAGAAGAUGAGUCCGUGAAAUCUGUCAUGGCGUCUGGAGGGUGCGAAUGUGAGAAGAGAACUUGACAGCGGGGGAGAACUGACAGUAGCAGAAAUCUGAUAGUUGGAAACAACGCUUUGGUUUGUAAAUUGCUCGAUGUAAUUUUAUGCUGUUGAAUUACUGUUCUUGAUUCGUGCUGAAUUGUAUUUACGUUCCACUAAUAUUGCUUGUUCUAUUGUAAGUUUCCAGUGUGUUGUAAAAUAAAAUAAAAAAUAUU